rnacentral:rRNA from 1 species
GACGAACGCUGGCGGCGUGCCUAAUACAUGCAAGUAGAACGCUGAAGGAGGAGCUUGCUUCUCCGGAUGAGUUGCGAACGGGUGAGUAACGCGUAGGUAACCUGCCUGGUAGCGGGGGAUAACUAUUGGAAACGAUAGCUAAUACCGCAUAAGAGUAGAUGUCGCAUGACAUUUGCUUAAAAGGUGCAACUGCACCACUACCAGAUGGACCUGCGUUGUAUUAGCUAGUUGGUGAGGUAACGGCUCACCAAGGCAACGAUACAUAGCCGACCUGAGAGGGUGGUCGGCCAACCUGGGACUGAGACACGGCCCAGACCUCUACGGGAGGCAGCAGUAGGGAAUCUUCGGCAAUGGACGGAAGUCUGACCGAGCAACGCCGCGUGAGUGAAGAAGGUUUUCGGAUCGUAAAGCUCUGUUGUAAGAGAAGAACGAGUGUGGGAGUGGAAAGUUCACACUGUGACGGUAUCUUACCAGAAAGAGACGGCUAACUACGUG